CAAAAGUCGGAACUCCAAAAGCGAGUUCCGAUAGUGAUGUUUCGUUUCAAAAUCCCUAAAAAAAAACUACUAUUCCUGAUAGCUGGAGAGAGAGGAAUUAUCUGCAGAUCAAACAGGAAUGGGAUUUAGGGAUUUUUCGAGUGAUUAAGAUAGAAAUAUAUUCUGGGUUGAAGAAGAUCAAGCUUCAAUGUUUUGAGGAGAAAUUUCGAUCACAUGCAUAGCAGGUACAAGAAGGCUUCAAAUAUUCCCCUAAUCGCUUCAAAUAGGUAAAUCGCAUAGCAGGUAACAAAGGAGUUUGGCUGCGUUGAUCCCUGCUCUCCCUCAACUCUAAUCUACACUACCUUCGUUUGACAUCGGUAGUGCGAACUGGACUAGAAGAGUGAAGAAACCCCUGGAACCAAUGAUUUUGGUUAAACUCCUCCCAACAUCGGUAGUGCGAACUCGGCUGGAACCCUUUUGGUGGAAUCUCUGCUCUCCAUCUCUCUUGCCUCUCAGAUCGUCAAGGCUGAUAACCGUGGAUGUAGUAUAUUUGUAUGGUUGAAAGAUGAAACACAUAUCUCU